AUGGCACUGCCCCUCCCCAGCCCCCUCCACCCCCCUUUCUCCUCCCGGGCAGCAUGCGAGCUCCAGGCUUGUCCCCAGGGCUGGAGGGGGGUGGCAGGGACCUGGUCCCCGCUGUCACCAGCGCCCCGGGGCACCCCCAGUUUAACCCUCACCGUCUUCCGCCCCGCUGCGGGCUCGGGGCUCGGGGCUGUGCCCUCUCUCUGGAACAAGUGCCAAAAGCGUCACCCCUGCCACCCCGGCCUGCUCUGUGUCCCCCUCGCACUUGGUAGCAGGGGCUGGACGAGGGUGGGGGAGCUGCCCCCCAUCCCUCCAUCCCCACCCCUCUGUCCCCAUCCCUCCGGCACUGGGCUGGCAGCGUUAGUGGGGUUUGCUCAGGGGGACGGGCACUCAGGGACCCGUGGGGCAGGGCUGCGGCCCCAGACCUCGGGGACCUCACGGGGCCGCUGGCAGAGGCCAGGCUCCAGGCUGAAGAGCACCAGGGCCCAUCAAAACCCCCCUCGGGGACCAGCACCCCAAUGCAGGGAGCUUUGUCCCCCCAGAGGGGCUGCUGAGCCCCCAAAGCCCCUCUCCUUUCAGGAGGAAACCGCACUUCACAGCUACGUUAGGGCAGAAAGGUGGGUUCUGGAAGGGAAAAAAAGCCCUUUAGGGGCACUCCUGGCUGCCUGUAUGCUUAGGGAAAAUGAGGGGGAUGCUCUGGGGUGUCCCCACAUCCCUCCCGGCUCCAGCAGGGACAAGGAGAGCUCGAGUGGGGGUGGCAGCCCCUUUCCUCGCGGGGCAGCCCCCCUGUUCCAGCCAUGUACCCGUCAGGGCUUGAAGGAAGGAAACCAGACCGCUGCUUACAACUCUGCUUCGAGCAUGUUUCGGGUUUUCGGAGUAUGUUUAAUAAAGGGAAUCUUACGUCGACAAGGCGUCCCGAAUCGCUUUGGGGCUGCGGGGCCAGCACAAUCGGGGUGUUUGGGGCUCAGUGGGGGCAAGCCCUUCUCCACCACCCCAAUACCACCCCGCAAUCAGCCCAGCUGCUUCAAAUGUCCCUCACCACGUCCUCAGNGAGCCCCCAAAGCCCCUCUCCUUUCAGGAGGAAACCGCACUUCACAGCUACGUUAG
rnacentral:lncRNA from 1 species